rnacentral:tRNA from 1 species
GUUUCUCUAGCUUAUUUGGUAAAGCGCCAGUCUGUGGAACUGGAGAAUAGGGUUCGAUCCCCGGAGAUACCCA